rnacentral:rRNA from 1 species
GCUGGCGGCAGGCCUAACACAUGCAAGUCGAGCGGUAGCACAGAGAGCUUGCUCUCGGGUGACGAGCGGCGGACGGGUGAGUAAUGUCUGGGAAACUGCCUGAUGGAGGGGGAUAACUACUGGAAACGGUAGCUAAUACCGCAUAAUGUCGCAAGACCAAAGUGGGGGACCUUCGGGCCUCAUGCCAUCAGAUGUGCCCAGAUGGGAUUAGCUAGUAGGUGGGGUAACGGCUCACCUAGGCGACGAUCCCUAGCUGGUCUGAGAGGAUGACCAGCCACACUGGAACUGAGACACGGUCCAGACUCCUACGGGAGGCAGCAGUGGGGAAUAUUGCACAAUGGGCGCAAGCCUGAUGCAGCCAUGCCGCGUGUGUGAAGAAGGCCUUCGGGUUGUAAAGCACUUUCAGCGGGGAGGAAGGCGAUAAGGUUAAUAACCUUGUCGAUUGACGUUACCCGCAGAAGAAGCACCGGCUAACUCCGUGCCAGCAGCCGCGGUAAUACGGAGGGUGCAAGCGUUAAUCGGAAUUACUGGGCGUAAAGCGCACGCAGGCGGUCUGUCAAGUCGGAUGUGAAAUCCCCGGGCUUAACCUGGGAACUGCAUUCGAAACUGGCAGGCUAGAGUCUUGUAGAGGGGGGUAGAAUUCCAGGUGUAGCGGUGAAAUGCGUAGAGAUCUGGAGGAAUACCGGUGGCGAAGGCGGCCCCCUGGACAAAGACUGACGCUCAGGUGCGAAAGCGUGGGGAGCAAACAGGAUUAGAUACCCUGGUAGUCCACGCCGUAAACGAUGUCGAUUUGGAGGUUGUGCCCUUGAGGCGUGGCUUCCGGAGCUAACGCGUUAAAUCGACCGCCUGGGGAGUACGGCCGCAAGGUUAAAACUCAAAUGAAUUGACGGGGGCCCGCACAAGCGGUGGAGCAUGUGGUUUAAUUCGAUGCAACGCGAAGAACCUUACCUGGUCUUGACAUCCACAGAACUUUCCAGAGAUGGAUUGGUGCCUUCGGGAACUGUGAGACAGGUGCUGCAUGGCUGUCGUCAGCUCGUGUUGUGAAAUGUUGGGUUAAGUCCCGCAACGAGCGCAACCCUUAUCCUUUGUUGCCAGCGGUUAGGCCGGGAACUCAAAGGAGACUGCCAGUGAUAAACUGGAGGAAGGUGGGGAUGACGUCAAGUCAUCAUGGCCCUUACGACCAGGGCUACACACGUGCUACAAUGGCAUAUACAAAGAGAAGCGACCUCGCGAGAGCAAGCGGACCUCAUAAAGUAUGUCGUAGUCCGGAUUGGAGUCUGCAACUCGACUCCAUGAAGUCGGAAUCGCUAGUAAUCGUAGAUCAGAAUGCUACGGUGAAUACGUUCCCGGGCCUUGUACACACCGCCCGUCACACCAUGGGAGUGGGUUGCAAAAGAAGUAGGUAGCUUAACCUUCGGGAGGGCGCUUACCACUUUGUGAUUCAUGACUGGGGUGAAG